GAUUCUGGUUGCUGGAGUUUAUCCUCCCGAGGUUGCUGUGCGAGUUUCGGACUCAGCUCAAGCGCUUGGAUCCCUACAGCACCUGCGAGGGCUUCUCCUGGCUGCCGCUUUCGUUCUGGCGAAUGUUCGGGGUGGCAGCCCCCCUUCGAGGCUUGCACGAGGGCGUCCCGGCAUCCGCGAUCAAGCGGGCCCUGCUGCUUUUGGGGCUGACCCUGCGGCUGGGGUGCUGCGGCGUCGCUCUGGCUAUGCCCGGUCCACUCACGGACUCCCUGCUUUGGCCUGCUCAGCUCAGGAGAACCGGGCCCGACUCCAUUUCGGGCAGUGGUGGACAGGGAAACUAGUGCCUGCCUGUAGUGGUCCCAGGCAUAGAGCUUCCUGCAGCUACCCUGUGGCUUAGUUCACGUUUUGUUGCUUUGACCACCGAUGAGAAAUGUGCAGUAGGGACCCUGUAGGAGUCUGCUUACCCGAAAUGGUUUCUGUCUUGAAUAGUUGUUGAGUGAAAGGUAACGUGUUUCGAUUAAAUAUAUAUGUGUGUGUGUGUGUGUAUUCCCAGAAGUGAAAAGACUUAAAUAUUCUUUUUUUUUUUUUUUUGAAAUGGAGUCUCGCUCUGUCGCCCAGGUUGGAGUGCAGUGGCGCGGUCUCGGCUCACUGCAACCUCUGCCUCCCGGGUUCUCUGCCUCAGUCUCCCAGUAGCUGGGAUUACAGGCGCCCACCACCACGCCUAGCUAAUUUUUUUUUUUUUUUUUUUUUUUUUUUUUUUUUUUUAGUAGAGACGGG
rnacentral:lncRNA from 1 species